UUAAUUUGACUCAGCACGAGAAAACUUAUCCCGCCCGGACACAGGAAGGAUUGACAGAUUAAGAACUCUUCCUUGAUUCUGUAGGUGAUGGUGCACGGCUGUUCUUAGUUGGUGGAGAGAUUUGUCUGGUUAAUUCCGAUAACGAACGAGACUCUAGCCUACUAAAUAGAAUAUUAAUUUCAAAAAUAUAUAAAAAAUAGUAUUCAUUCAGUACAACACUUAAAAAUCAGAAUAAAGGAAAACAAUUACUCUCUAAAUUUUUCUUUACAUUUCUUAGAAGAUAAUUUAUCAUUUCUAUAUUCUCUCUAUAUAUACA
rfam:Stegodyphus mimosarum contig77250, whole genome shotgun sequence.